rnacentral:rRNA from 1 species
GUCGAGGGGUAUAGGUUUUCGGAUCUAGAGACCGGCGCACGGGUGCGUAACGCGUAUGCAAUCUACCUUUCACAGAGGGAUAGCCCAGAGAAAUUUGGAUUAAUACCUCAUAGUAUAGCAGUUUCGCAUGAAACCACUAUUAAAGUCACAACGGUGAAAGAUGAGCAUGCGUCCCAUUAGCUAGUUGGUAAGGUAACGGCUUACCAAGGCAACGAUGGGUAGGGGUCCUGAGAGGGAGAUCCCCCACACUGGUACUGAGACACGGACCAGACUCCUACGGGAGGCAGCAGUGAGGAAUAUUGGACAAUGGGCGCAAGCCUGAUCCAGCCAUGCCGCGUGCAGGAUGACGGUCCUAUGGAUUGUAAACUGCUUUUGUACAGGAAGAAACACUCCCUCGUGAGGGAGCUUGACGGUACUGUAAGAAUAAGGAUCGGCUAACUCCGUGCCAGCAGCCGCGGUAAUACGGAGGAUCCAAGCGUUAUCCGGAAUCAUUGGGUUUAAAGGGUCCGUAGGCGGUUUAGUAAGUCAGUGGUGAAAGCCCAUCGCUCAACGGUGGAACGGCCAUUGAUACUGCUAAACUUGAAUUAUUAGGAAGUAACUAGAAUAUGUAGUGUAGCGGUGAAAUGCUUAGAGAUUACAUGGAAUACCAAUUGCGAAGGCAGGUUACUACUAAUGGAUUGACGCUGAUGGACGAAAGCGUGGGUAGCGAACAGGAUUAGAUACCCUGGUAGUCCACGCCGUUAACGAUGGAUACUAGCUGUUGGAAGCAAUUUCAGUGGCUAAGCG